UUCUUGAUAUAUUUAAAUUCAUUGAAAUUACAGCUAAAUCGUGGGACUAGUUUUAUAUCACAUGGUCAUGGUAAUGGGUAUAUGGAGUAUGUUAAAGGUGAUUUCUAUUUAAGUGAAUUGAGACAAGAAAUUAAUUAUGUGUAAUUGAUUAAAUGGGGGAUUCUAUUAGAAUAUUAGAAUUAAUUACGAUUUUUUUGGGAUAAGUAUUAUAAUCCACGUGGAAGCUUGUUAAUUGGGAAGAUGGGGGUUUUAAAUAUACGCAUGGAACAGAUGGGAUGAUAAUGACUGCUGAGGUGUAAAGGUCCUAAAAGCCCCAUGUGUCAAAAGGAAUAGAGUGCAUGUGUAUCCUUUUUAUUCCACUUUUGGAGAAUUCACUUUAUGGAACUAAGUACUGCAUAUAUUUAAAUAGGAGCACAACGUAGCAAUUCUUUCUUGGAAGCAAUCUUUCAAGGUAAAUCCGACAAUUUCCUAGACAAAAAAAAUGGACAGUGACGUGAACUUCCAAAUCAACCAGCAAUGCCCUUCUUAAAUACACAGUAACAACCUUUCGUUUGUGCAACAUAGCAGCUACUUUGUCCUAAUAAAUAUCAAGUCAAGUUCAAUUCCAUUGACGUGAUGAUACUAAUAUCAAUUUCCUCCGGUGUUGGCAAAUUGAAGAAUUUUUCGAAGUGAAGUAAAGUGGAAAAAAGAAUACUUCUUGGUAUAUAAGGCUAAAAGAGCGACGAGACGAACGGGUUACGAAUAGCCGCUAACAGGCGGGCCCGACUCGGGUCAAUACCAGUCCGUGGGUCCCGCGACUUUCCGUUAUGUACUUUGGACGACUUUUGAAAGAAUUUGGUAUGAUUAUCAUUUCGAAUUUCAAGUAUGGUCAUUUACUUAUAUUUGAGUCUAUGAUAAUGAUUUUAUGCAUAUGGUUACUCAUGACUCAGCUCGUGCGUUCUGUUAUAUCUUUCGCCGGUUCCCGGGCCGGUUCUGUUAUCGUGCGCGCUUUGAUAUACUCCGGAGUUAUGCUGUGUUUAUGGUUCACCGAGCUACUCGCAAAAGAGGGUCGGGUUCCACCUAUAUUUGGUGUUAUGCUGUGUAUGGCGUUAUGUUGUGAUGUGAUAUGUGACAGGGAUACGGAGAUUUGAAACUUUCUAGUGUUAUGCUGUGUUAUGACGCCAUCGACGGGUGGGCGACCAUAUUCUUCUGUACUCUAUGCAUUACUUACAUAUUUUUGAAAGUAAGCAAAUUUUGAUAUGUUCGAUUUGCACUUAUGUUUGGUACUUCCAUUUCGUUUAUGUCUCAGAUUUGCUUUCUGUAUAUUCUGCUUUGCAUACUCAGUACAUAUUUCGUACUGACCCCCUUUCUUCGGGGGGCUGCGUUUCAUGCCCGCAGGUACAGACGCACUGUUUGGUGAUCUACCCAUUUAGGACACCCUCUUCUGCUGUUUGGAGUGCUCUUCUCAUUUCAGAGCACACAUUUUGGUAUAUAUUCGUUCGCUAUGUAUAUAUGUAUUUGUUCAGGGGCACGGCGGGGCCCUGUCCCGCCAUAUGAUUCGGUUUGUCUGUUUAGAGGUCUGUAGACGUAUUUGUGGGUGUGUGUGCCUACUUCUGUACAGAUGUGUUUGUAUGACCUCAUUCGUUAUAGCAGCCUUGUCGGCGUGCACUUUGUAUA